GAUGAAGAACGCAGCGAAAUGCGAUAAGUAAUGUGAAUUGCAGAAUUCAGUGAAUCAUCGAAUCUUUGAACGCACAUUGCGCCCGCCAGUAUUCUGGUGGGCAUGCCUGUCCGAGCGUCAUUUCAACCCUCGAACCCCUCCGGGGGGUCGGCGUUGGGGAUCGGCCCUUUACGGGGCCGGCCCCGAAAUACAGUGGCGGUCUCGCUGCAGCCUCUCCUGCGCAGUAGUUUGCACACUCGCAUCGGGAGCGCGGCGCGUCCACAGCCGUUAAACACCCCAAACUUCUGAAAUGUUGACCUCGGAUCAGGUAGGAAUACCCGCUGAACUUUAGCAUAUCAAUAAGCGGAGGA
rnacentral:misc_RNA from 1 species